UCGGAUUGGAAAGGCAGUUGAGGGGAAGGGCCCCCUGAGGUUAAAGCUGAAAGGGGGGGUAUGGAACAGAAUUAAAAUCCCUUGAUAUUCCGCCACGAUAAAAGAAGGAAUGCCGGCGGUUUCCCCCCGGGAGCAGCGGCUAAGUGAAAACGUUAAGCAUCCCACCUGGGGAGUACGCCGGCAACGGUGAAACUCAAAGGAAUAGACGGGGGCCCGCACAAGCGGAGGAACAUGUGGUUUAAUUCGAUGAUACGCGAGGAACCUUACCCGGGCUUGAAUUGCAGAUGAAAGAUCCAGAGAUGGUGAUGCCCUUCGGGGCAUCUGUGAAGGUGCUGCAUGGUUGUCGUCAGCUCGUGCCGUGAGGUGUCGGCUUAAGUGCCAUAACGAGCGCAACCCCUCUCUUCAGUUGCCAUCAGGUAGUGCUGGGCACUCUGGAGACACUGCCACCGCAAGGUGUGAGGAAGGUGGGGAUGACGUCAAAUCAGCACGGCCCUUACGUCCGGGGCUACACACGUGUUACAAUGGGGGGCACAGAAAGCCGGGUGCGCGCAAGCACGACCCAAUCCAUAAAUCCCCCCCCAGUUCGGACUGGGGUCUGCAACCCGACCCCACGAAGCUGGGUUCGCUAGUAAUCGCGCAUCAGCCAUGGCGCGGUGAAUACGUUCCCGGGCCUUGUACUCACCGCCCGUCAAG
rnacentral:rRNA from 1 species